rnacentral:rRNA from 1 species
UACGGAGGGUGCGAGCGUUAAUCGGAAUCACUGGGCGUAAAGCGCACGUAGGCGGCUUCGUAAGUCAGAUGUGAAAGCCCCGGGCUUAACCUGGGAACUGCAUUUGAUACUGCACGGCUUGAGUCUGGUAGAGGGGGGUGGAAUUCCAGGUGUAGAGGUGAAAUGCGUAGAUAUUUGGAAGAACACCGGUGGCGAAGGCGGCCCACUGGUUCGAUACUGACGCUGAGGUGCGAAAGCGUGGGGAGCAAACAGG